AGGCUUCUAUUAUUUACAAUUUAGUACUUCUACUCUUUAUUAUUUAUAGAUAACUCUUUAGAGGGUAAAUUUUAUUAACCUUUCCAUAGGUUUGAUCAAAUUGCAUGGACCUCUUCUAUAGUUUAUAAAAUUACACAUGGACCUCUUCUGUAGUUCAUAACCUUCCCAUUAACAUUAAUUUAAAACUAAUAUAAAAAUUUUC
rnacentral:lncRNA from 1 species